UGACAGAGACAAAAUAUUUUUUUUUGUGAAACAAGCAUCUACAAAGAACCUGGCAAGAGGCUUUUUCUGAAUCAGAAUUGUAAUUCUGCAGUCACCGGGAUUUGGACAGUGCAUAGUAAAUGGACAAUGAAACUUCCAAGUAAACAAUAAGGAGAAAACAAAAUAUUGACUAUUUGCUCAUUAAUGGAGGAGAUUUUCUGUGCAGUGAAGGUGCUGCUUGUGACUCUAACCUAAGUGCCCAGGAAUGCUGUGCUGGCAGAAGAGGAUAAAGAAGGGCACCUACAACCAAGGAGAAGUGUGCUCGAUACUGGACACCUCGUGGCGUGAUACUUGUCUGCUGCCUGAUUUUCCUGUUCUGGUAGAACCUGAAUUUAGGAAGCCUUUCUCAGUGGUGAAGACCAACAUGUUUCCAAGGGGAUUCAAUAGUUUCGAACUGUGAUGCAGCAUAGAGAAUUACAUUUAUUUCAACACAUCUGAGGAAUUUGAUCUGUCUUUAAAAACUUCAUAUUUUUUCAUCUAUAUCUCUGCUACAGUUUUUCAACUAUUCAAAUACAGCAAGCAACUCAGAGCCACCCCAGCCUGAACAGGCUGAAACUGUAACAGACAGAAUUCCCUGACUUAAAUGUUGAAUAAAUCUAGAAACAUAAAUUUAUGGUAUGUAAUACAAGAAGUGGACUUUACCAUUACUUCAGGUUCUAAACUCAGUUUGGCCCUCCAUGCAUAUAAUUUAGGAAACAAAGGAAAGAUGGACAACUUAAAAUUCAUUGGAAUAUUACCUCUAUGAACUGACAACAAGCAAUUAAAAAACUCUGCAGUCUUCAGUGUGCUGGUGAUCAUACACG